AUUAGAAGAUAUAAUGUGAGAAUCUCGUCCUUGAAAUCCUUUUUUUUUGUUGGAGAGUUAUAAAAGUAGAAGAUGAGAGGUGAGAAUCUCGGCCUUGAAAAGAGUUUUGGAUACGAAGAUGAAAUCCAUUUUUGCUGCAGGAGAGAAUACAAAUACGGCCUUGAAAUGUCUAUGAUUGUUUAUAUACUUCUUCUUGAUCACGAAGAGAAAACAAAAUACCUUAAUAAAUGGAUAUGCAUAGAAGAUAACGGAUACAAAGUUUUGGUUGAUUCCUUACUAGACGAACAAGAAGAAUCAUCAGUAAGAAACAACACCGUUGAUGAAACGGUAUUGGUUGAUUCCUUCCUAGAUGAACAACAUUGAUGUUGAAAAGGAUACCUAUUCAUUGGAAGAUGUAAGCAUGACCCUAAAACUCUUGGAGGAGAA